GAUGAAGAACGUAGCGAAAUGCGAUAAGUAAUGUGAAUUGCAGAAUUCAGUGAAUCAUCGAAUCUUUGAACGCACAUUGCGCCCCCUGGUAUUCCGGGGGGCAUGCCUGUUCGAGCGUCAUUACAACCCUCAAGCUCUGCUUGGUGUUGGGCCCCGCCGCCCCGGCGGGCCCUAAAAUCAGUGGCGGUGCCGUCCGGCUCCGAGCGUAGUAAUUCUUCUCGCUCUGGAGGUCCGGGUGUGUGCUCGCCAGCAACCCCCAAUUUUUUUCAGGUUGACCUCGGAUCAGGUAGGGAUACCCGCUGAACUUAAGCAUAUCAAUAAGCGGAGGG
rnacentral:misc_RNA from 1 species